GUUCUCCAGUUUCCCUUCAGAUCGUAGAAAUCUUUCCCCUUUUACUAAAGAUUUCAGUGGGGAGAAACGCGUACGAAUCUUACGAAUUUUUUUGUGGCUCCAUUACGGUGGAGCU